rnacentral:lncRNA from 1 species
UCGUAUAGUCAAUAUUUUUUCAACACAUUUUGUAUCAACUGAUAACUUUGAAUCUUUGUGUCUUUCAUCAGAUCAUGCUUACUGUUGGAUUUGUGCAUGAAUAACUAAAAGCGCCAUGACAUUAUGCAUAUCCUUCAUUUUAGCCAUUAAACUUAUUUAUGUAUCCGGUGUUAAUUUAUUAUGAUUUCUUGUAUAUUCAUCUUAGAUAGGGUGGUCUUUGAGUGGAUUUGGUCAUCCUAAAUUUUGUGUGGAUUAUUUUUUGAGUCCUGCUUAGCUUUGCGAAACAAUAAUUAUUAUAGUCUUUGAUCUGCACAUGCCCAAUUUCCUUAUAUUGCCCAUUCUAGAUUAGUAGCCUUUCUGCACGGCGACAUUUUCAACUCAUGUUUAAUAUUGUCGGAACUAAGCAUAGGGUAGAGAAAUGGUUGCUUGCAUGCCAUCCAUGUCCUAGAGAAUGUCCUUACCAUGAACCUACCGCUUUAUUGAUCUGAUUUUAGCUUCUAGAUGUUCUGCAACUAUAUACACAAUAGAUACUGUUUGUCUAAACUGUAAUGGCACUCUAUGAGAAGUUGAGAUAAAUUGAGAAUGGGGCAAAAAAAAAUCCGACGCUUCCCGCUCUAAGCGGUGAAUGCUAUGGCUCCCUGAAGAUAGCAAGCAGCUUGAAUCCAAGGAGAAAACUAAUUUAGUUCUGCCAAGACUCCUAUUUUUUUGUGUAUCUUUGUUCCAACUUUGCAUUGAGUCCAGUUCACUUGGACAAUAUUUAUAUAUUCCUUUGAUUUUCGCCCAAGAAAAUAAAUAUUCUAAAAUCUUCGUAGGAAUAGACUAAAUAGGCUAUGCCCUUACAUUCUCUAUGGAGAAGUUGUUCACCCUUGAAUUCAAAAAUUUAUACCCGCAAC